UACGUAGGGGGCAAGCGUUGUCCGGAUUUAUUGGGCGUAAAGAGCGUGUAGGCGGCCAUGUAGGUCCGCUGUGAAAGUCCAGGGCUCAACCCUGGGAUGCCGGUGGAUACUGUCGGGCUCGAGUCCGGAAGAGGCGAGUGGAAUUCCUGGUGUAGCGGUGAAAUGCGCAGAUAUCAGGAGGAACACCAAUGGCGAAGGCAGCUCGCUGGGACGUGACUGACGCUGAGGAGCGAAAGCGUGGGGAGCGAACAGG
rnacentral:rRNA from 1 species